rnacentral:rRNA from 1 species
UGGGGAAUUUUGGACAAUGGGCGAAAGCCUGAUCCAGCAAUGCCGCGUGUGUGAAGAAGGCCUUCGGGUUGUAAAGCACUUUUGUCCGGAAAGAAAUCCUUGGCUCUAAUACAGUCGGGGGAUGACGGUACCGGAAGAAUAAGCACCGGCUAACUACGUGCCAGCAGCCGCGGUAAUACGUAGGGUGCAAGCGUUAAUCGGAAUUACUGGGCGUAAAGCGUGCGCAGGCGGUUUGCUAAGACCGAUGUGAAAUCCCCGGGCUCAACCUGGGAACUGCAUUGGUGACUGGCAGGCUAGAGUAUGGCAGAGGGGGGUAGAAUUCCACGUGUAGCAGUGAAAUGCGUAGAGAUGUGGAGGAAUACCGAUGGCGAAGGCAGCCCCCUGGGCCAAUGCUGACGCUCAUGCACGAAAGCGUGGGGAGCAAACAGGAUUAGAUACCCUGGUAGUCCACGCCCUAAACGAUGUCAACUAGUUGUUGGGGAUUCAUUUCCUUAGUAACGUAGCUAACGCGUGAAG